rnacentral:rRNA from 1 species
GAUGAACGCUAGCUACAGGCUUAACACAUGCAAGUCGAGGGGUAACGAGAGGAAAGCUUGCUUUCCUUGUCGACGACCGGCGCACGGGUGAGUAACGCGUAUCCAACCUGCCCCCAACUAGGGAAUAACCUUGCGAAAGUAAGACUAAUACCCUAUACUUUCCUCAGAUGUCAUCUGACGAGGAAUAAAGAUUUAUCGGUUGUGGAUGGGGAUGCGGCUGAUUAGCUUGUUGGCGGGGUAACGGCCCACCAAGGCAACGAUCAGUAGGGGUUCUGAGAGGCAGCGCCCCCACAUUGGAACUGAGAAACGGUCCAAACUCCUACGGGAGGCAGCAGUGAGGAAUAUUGGUCAAUGGGCGGAAGCCUGAACCAGCCAAGUAGCGUGCAGGAUGACGGCCCUAUGGGUUGUAAACUGCUUUUAUACAGGAAUAAAGUUAGCCACGUGUGGUUAUUUGUAGGUACUUUAUGAAUAAGGACCGGCUAAUUCCGUGCCAGCCGCCGCGGUAA